GAUGAACGCUGGCGGCGUGCCUAAUACAUGCAAGUCGAGCGAACAGACGAGGAGCUUGCUCCUCUGACGUUAGCGGCGGACGGGUGAGUAACACGUGGAUAACCUACCUAUAAGACUGGGAUAACUUCGGGAAACCGGAGCUAAUACCGGAUAACAUGUUGAACCGCAUGGUUCAACAGUGAAAGACGGUCUUGCUGUCACUUAUAGAUGGAUCCGCGCCGCAUUAGCUAGUUGGUAAGGUAACGGCUUACCAAGGCAACGAUGCGUAGCCGACCUGAGAGGGUGAUCGGCCACACUGGAACUGAGACACGGUCCAGACUCCUACGGGAGGCAGCAGUAGGGAAUCUUCCGCAAAGGGCGAAAGCCUGAUGGAGCAACGCCGCGUGAGUGAAGAAGGUCUUCGGAUCGUAAAACUCUGUUAUUAGGGAAGAACAAAUGUGUAAGUAACUAUGCACGUCUUGACGGUACCUAAUCAGAAAGCCACGGCUAACUACGUG
rnacentral:rRNA from 1 species